CAACCUGCAAAGGAGGCGAGUGCCUAAGGUAUGGGGGAUGAUUGGGGUGAAGUCGUAACAAGGUAGCUGUAGGUGAACCUGCAGAAAGAUCA
rnacentral:rRNA from 1 species